GGGUCUGUAGCUCAGCGGUAGAGCACUCGGCUCAUAACCGAAUGUGCGUAGGUUCAAAUCCUGCCAGGCCCA
rnacentral:tRNA from 1 species